UGUGUUCAUGAAAAUAUUUCUAUCUA
rnacentral:piRNA from 1 species